rnacentral:rRNA from 1 species
GAUGAACGCUGGCGGCGUGCCUAAUACAUGCAAGUCGAGCGAAUGGAUUAAGAGCUUGCUCUUAUGAAGUUAGCGGCGGACGGGUGAGUAACACGUGGGUAACCUGCCCAUAAGACUGGGAUAACUCCGGGAAACCGGGGCUAAUACCGGAUAACAUUUUGAACCGCAGGGUUCGAAAUUGAAAGGCGGCUUCGGCUGGCACUUAUGGAGGGACCCGCGUCGCAUUAGCUAGUUGGAGGGGUAACGGCUCACCAAGGCAACGAGGCGUAGCCGACCUGAGAGGGUGAUCGGCCACACUGGGACUGAGACACGGCCCAGACUCCUACGGGAGGCAGCAGUAGGGAAUCUUCCGCAAUGGACGAAAGUCUGACGGAGCAACGCCGCGUGAGUGAUGAAGGCUUUCGGGUCGUAAAACUCUGUUGUUAGGGAAGAACAAGUGCUAGUUGAAUAAGCUGGCACCUUGACGGUACCUAACCAGAAAGCCACGGCUAACUACGUGCCAGCAGCCGCAGUAA